rnacentral:sRNA from 1 species
GGGAUUGUAGUGGAAAUCCUUUUUCUUUAAAAAAAGAUUGCAACGUAAAGCCCGACC